rnacentral:tmRNA from 1 species
GGGGCUGAAUGGAAUCGACAGGAAACGCGGUCAUUCAGUAAGCAUGCCGUAGGAUGAUAGCUCACUACGUUAAAAAUGGAUAUCGAAUUACAACUGGCAAUACAUCUUUUGCCUUGGCUGCUUAAUCUUAGAGAUUAAGACGCCUUUGUGCCCCAGAAUUGACGUCCGAUAGGUACUGGCUGCACAUCAUAAAACUUCGGUCUAGUUCAAAGUAAGUCCCGGGCGGCGAACGAAAUUAAGGGAAUACGAACUUGAAAGGUCGUGAUAUUACCUCCUCAAGUUCCGACAAUCAAAGAUAUCACUAAGCAUGUAGAAAGCGGUUUGGUACUUUCUCUGGACCAGGGUUCGAAUCCCUGCAGCUCCACUG